rnacentral:misc_RNA from 1 species
GAUGAAGAACGAAGUGAAAUGCGAUAAUUAAUGUGAAUUGCAGAAUUCAGUGAAUCAUCGAGUCUUUGAACGCACAUUGCGCCCCCUGGUAUUCCGGGGGGCAUGCCUGUCCGAGCGUCAUUGCUGCCCUCAAGCACGGCUUGUGUGUUGGGCUUCCGUCCCUGGCAACGGGGACGGGCCCAAAAGGCAGUGGCGGCACCAUGUCUGGUCCUCGAGCGUAUGGGGCUUUGUCACCCGCUCCCGUAGGUCCAGCUGGCAGCUAGCCUCGCAACCAAUCUUUUUAACCAGGUUGACCUCGGAUCAGGUAGGGAUACCCGCUGAACUUAAGCAUAUCAAUAAGCGGAGGA